GGUGGUUCAGUGGUAGAGUGCUUGUCUUGCAUACAUGAGGCCCUGAGUUCGAUUCCUUAGCACCA
rnacentral:tRNA from 1 species